AACAGAGACUGCUAUUUAUGGUCACGUACCGGUUACAGUCAAUGAGAGUCUCCACUAGUGGUUCUCCACAACUUAACUCUCUUUUUCUUUGCUCUAGCGCCUCCGACGACCAGCAGCAACUUGGAAAAUCAUAUCCAUUUUACUUUCUCUUUCGAUCUUGGAAAAACCAUCUCUUUUUUCAGGUUCAUGCAAUAUAUGGAAUCCAUUUCUAGUUCAUAUUCAUUAGGGUAUUUUGUUCCGAUCUUGGUUGUGGGGUUGGUUUAAUAAGGUAUCGGAGUACCUAAGACUGUCGAGCAGGGAAGCUUACACUUGUUCACUUAACGGUUCACCAUGUCUUCUUUCCUCCUCCCUUUUCUGCUCACUCGUACCCAUGAGACUUCAGAAUAUAAUCUCUUUGUAUUUAGUUUAUUAUUGGGUCUUUAUUCUUGAUUUUUUGAGGUGCCUGAAAAAAAUGACAAGAGUUGUUUUAUUAGUGUUUUGGGAUUAAGGUUUAUGUUGGGAUUUCACUUGUGAAACUAAUUGGGUUUUUUGUUUGUUGGUUCGUCUCUUUGUGAAUUUACAGGUAAUGAGAUCUGAUAUCUAGAGCUUGUGAUGGUAGUGUUUGUGUGUUUGUUUGGAGUUAGUGUUGUCGCUUUAUUUUGGUUUUUGGACACGGAUGCUCAAAAAUCUGAACGGUAGAUUAGAUUACUGCUGCAGUUUGUUUGUGGAGACGGUAAUUGACCAGUGCUCAGAGUUGUGGUGGUGCUGAUUAUUGGCUCCUGGCUGGUGUUGUUUUUGGUGGUCGGCGAUGUAGUUGGUGGUAGUUUAUGGUGGAAUGGUAAUGGAGAUUUUAGUAAGUCCCAUCAAAGAAAAAAAAAAAGAUAUCUAAACUGGAUGGUAUCAACUCAUAUGUCACUCUAAUGCAUCUCUUUUUGUUUAUUGAACUUUAAGUUUGGUGAAACUUCCUUUAUGUGGAUAUCUACUUGAGGUUCCAUGCUGCUUUUAAGCAUCCAUGGGUGUUUAGAUAUUGGGGAUCUAUCUAUCUUUUUAAGCAUGAAACCUUCAUAACUUGCACUUAUUUAACCAUGUCAUAUACAUUGUUGAUGCCAAUUUUAUAUCAGGUUCGUCAUUUACGUGAUAGCAAUAGCUUUGGAACCCGAAGUGCGCAAGUUACUUUUUACUUCGAGUGCUUCAUUUCAAAAGGAAGAGAAUAUGCUUGAACACCAACAGGAUAUAAAAAGGUCAUUUGUUCCUUCUUCACAAACGGUAUUGAACAUCCACUAUCUUCAGAAAAGUAGUGGUUGGUUUGAUUUCAGUUCUGAUGCCGUGGAAGUUGCUCUCAAGGUAAUGUUAUUGAAGGUCGUAGUUACGGUUACAUCAACCUAUUUGGUUUAUCCUCUUUGGUGGUCUUAUAGAACCCACUGUAAGGUGCAGUUUUUCAUUCAUGUAACCAUGUCUAUAUAUUAAAAUCCACUUGUGUUCAAGUUCCUUAGAUUGUGUAUUAUAUUAUUCUACUUGUACGUGUACUUUUUGCAGUCCUUCAUAAUGCGUUCUGAAAUGAUCUCUAUACAAUGACAUUAGGAGGUAAUCAAUGUAGUAGUUUUGGGCUUCUUCGCUAAUUAGGUAUGUGAGUUUCUGAAACUACUUUGAAACAGGUAAACAAAUAAUUUUCCUAAGUUCAAUGAUGGUCGGUGUUUAUAAUUCAAUGUAUGAAAUGACCAUGUAUUGCCUAAGUUAUGUCUCUUAGAAACUUAUGGUUAUAUUCUUUGAAUGUUUUACCAAAAGUAGUCAAACAUUGAACAUCCAUUGUUUUCUUUAUCAUAUUUAUUUACCUUUUUGGCUAGUUUACAGGAACCAUCGUGGUUUGAGGCAUUAUUGGGGUCUCAGAGUCCAUGGACAGCUCACCAAGACUGCUGGAUUUUCAAGGUUGUUGGUUCUAAACGUUGGUCCUUGAUUUCAAGGUACAAGGAAAGUUCUAGUGAAGAAACUUGUAUUUGUGUCACCCAUUUGCAUGGCUCAGCAACAAGAAAUAAGCACUUUCAUGUUUGCUACGAAUACACGGCGUAGCAAGGAAAUGAAUAACUCUAGUCCAUACGCCACCACUUCACCCCCAGUCCUUCAUUCCACUACCACCUGAUGUUUCUUUGGUUUGCUAAUUUGUCUUCAAAUUAUGAAUUCAUGAUCAGAUGAUUAUGUUGGAAGGAGAAAAAGUUGUAAUAGAUGUUGUUGAUGCGUUAAGAAGUGGAGCUGCUACAAUGAAAGCUAUCCAAAAAUCAACAUUUUGAGCAGCUUCACUAAAAGUAGCGUGCGACAUCUAACACAUUGAUCUUGCUGGUUCCACUAGAAAUUCCUCGUGACAACUUCAACUUCAACCUUUGGGCAUGCCUCAUGCGGCAGAAAUGUUCACCUAGGUAGCUGGUUUUCUUGGUUCCAAAGUAUGUGAGUUCUUUUUUCUUUAAAUCGUUAUGCAAGAACCUUGAUGUGAUUUAUCCACAUGACAAUCCUUCAUAUGAUUUUUGUAACUUCAUACUUUAUAUAUGAGUUCAUCAUGGUUAAUUAACUCUAAGAAAAUCUUAAUUAA